rnacentral:rRNA from 1 species
AAUAGAUACCCAGGUAGUCCACCCCGUAAACGUUGGGAACUAGUUGUGGGUCCAUUCCACGGAUUCCGUGACGCAGCUAACGCAUUAAGUUCCCCGCCUGGGGAGUACGGCCGCAAGGCUAAAACUCAAAGGAAUUGACGGGGACCCGCACAAGCGGCGGAGCAUGCGGAUUAAUUCGAUGCAACGCGAAGAACCUUACCAAGGCUUGACAUAUAGAGGAAACGUCUGGAAACAGUCGCCCCGCAAGGUCUCUAUACAGGUGGUGCAUGGUUGUCGUCAGCUCGUGCCGUGAGAUGUUGGGUUAAGUCCCGCAACGAGCGCAACCCUCGUUCUAUGUUGCCAGCACGUAAUGGUGGGAACUCAUGGGAUACUGCCGGGGUCAACUCGGAGGAAGGUGGGGAUGACGUCAAAUCAUCAUGCCCCUUAUGUCUUGGGCUUCACGCAUGCUACAAUGGCCGGUACAAAGGGCUGCAAUACCGUGAGGUGGAGCGAAUCCCAAAAAGCCGGUCCCAGUUCGGAUUGAGGUCUGCAACUCGACCUC